AGUGAACGCUGGCGGUAGGCCUAACACAUGCAAGUCGAACGGCAGCACAGUAAGAGCUUGCUCUUACGGGUGGCGAGUGGCGGACGGGUGAGGAAUACAUCGGAAUCUACUUUUUCGUGGGGGGUAACGUAGGGAAACUUACGCUAAUACCGCAUACGACCUACGGGUGAAAGCAGGGGAUCUUCGGACCUUGCGCGAUUGAAUGAGCCGAUGUCGGAUUAGCUAGUUGGCGGGGUAAAGGCCCACCAAGGCGACGAUCCGUAGCUGGUCUGAGAGGAUGGACAGCCACACUGGAACUGAGACACGGUCCAGACUCCGACGGGAGGCAGCAGUGGGGAAUAUUGGACAAUGGGGGCAAGCCUGAUCCAGCCAUACCGCGUGAGUGAAGAAGGCCUUCGGGUUGUAAAGCCAUUUUGUUGGGAAAGAAAAGCAGCAGGUUAAUACCCCGCUGUUCUGACGGUACCCAAAGAAUAAGCACCGGCUAACUUCGUG
rnacentral:rRNA from 1 species